GGGAGGAGGUGACUAGUGACAGAGGGAGGAGGUGACUAGUGACAGAGUGAAGGGAUGACUAGUGACAGAGUUAGGGAGGGAGUGACUAGUGACAGAGGGAGGGAUGGGGUGAUGUGACAGUCACCACCUCCCUCACUCUGUCACUAGUCACCAUCUCCCUCCUGCUGUCACUAGUCACCCUCUCCCUCAUUCUGUCACUAGUCACCCUCUCCCUCAUUCUGUCACUAGUCACACCCUCCCUCACUAGUCACCCCCGUCACUAGUCACCCCUCCCUCACUCUGUCACUAGUCACCCAUUCCCUCCC